AUCAUGCCCAACCCCAUGUAAGCCCUGCAAGUACCUUGCUGCUGCUUCCACUCAGAAUUGGGAAAUAGUACUUUAAAUCAAGUCACACCCAUAGUAAGGUGGUUUGAACUACAGCGUAGUGUUUUCUUCAGCACUGUUUCACCACUAUCUCUGUCUUGAUUCUGUAACCUGGAAGCCUCAGAUUUCUACCAGACUGGAAGUUUGACUGGAAGUUUGAGGUCUUGAAGCAUGAGACUCUUCCAGUAUCACCUUCAGAAAUCUGAUCCAUCUAUACAGUGCCUUUGCCAAGAUUAGUGGUAAAUUCCAAGGUAAAAUCUUUAGGGAAACAUUCAGUCAUUUACUGUUAUUGUUCUUGUUUCAGAAACGCAGAGGGUAAGGUGCUGAAUAGCAUGAUGAAGACAGUGCAAAACUAAUUUGUUUGCAUUAUACCUGCUACCUUUAUUAGAAUGUUUUUUCUCUAAAAUACUAAAUUUCUCCUUCUGGAGUAAACAGCUACUUAUAACCAUCGCUUUUGAGUGAAGACAGCUAUGGGAAAUCCAACUCUAACAGACUUCUCCAUGAAGGCAACAGGAGAAGGAGAGAGGGCCAAGGAAAGAGACAAAAUGAGAGCAUUUACAUACUCCAUGGAGGAAGUGUUUUGUCUUAACAUACACUCUUAUAAAUGUUUAUGCUUGUAAAAGUAAAUGCUGCUAUUACUGUAUUAAUUUUGGUAUCUAAAAGACAUAGCUAAAUUCAAAGACCAGUAUCUAGCUGAGACAAUAUUUCUGUUUUGUUUCUAUACGUUCUGUAUUUGUCUGAAUUUUAAGCUCUAGAGAGAUUUUUAAAAUAAUGAAUAGGUGAUAAGUUGAAAUACUUCUCUCACAUAAUCUCACUUUUCUCAUUUCGCACUCCUUUAGUAACAACCACCUUUUAGAUAAUGUCAGAAUCCACAUUAAAAAAAAUGGAAAUUAUAUCAUAAAAUCGUAGUUUUCCAUCAAAAACUCUGCUUACAGGAGUUCUCUAUCUGUAUUUCCAGAUAUUUGUAGCAAUAAAAUUCAGAUGAAUAUCUUUGAAGCAAAAGUUUCUGCAGCUCCCUAAAAGUUCACGUCCAAUAUUUUCUUCUAGUUUCCUGGGUUGCCUGACGGGGUCCAAAUCAAUCUACUUUGGAUGUCCAAAAAGGCUUAGAUCUGUUUAAGUUCCUUUGAGAAUUACAUGCUGUGACAAGUGCAGCUGUAUCAGAUGGCAAAUGAGCUCUUUAUCCUGUUUGAAAAAGAUAUAACUGAGGAUGUCCAGUGUAGCCACAUACUUUUUCUAGGGUGAGUUUUUCAUCUAUGUUGAAUAUGAAUGAAGGAAAAACGUCCAUGUCAUGACAUACAUUGCAGCAGAUGAGAUCACUUUGUAAAGAUAAUAUACUGGAUCUUGUGAGCAGAGAACAGGAAUCUGUUUGCUAUUUGAUUUGGAUUUUCCUGGAACAUGAGCAUGACUUUACUAAGCGUGUGCUUAAGUAGCAAGUACUGCAUACUUCUGAUGCUUGCAGAUCUUGGCAACAAGCUUUCUCAAUAUGGAUUUUGAAUUUACAAUGCACAGGUGCUAAUCAUUGAGGCCACUCAGCACUAUACAAGAUCACAUUUUUUUCCACAGACAGGCUGCACACGAGCAGUGACUGCUCCUACCUGGAGUGCUUAGCACUGUGAAGAAUAAUAUUUCCCAUAACUCACUUCUCAAAUAUGUCUUCAGUGCCUCAAAAUGAGCAGCUAACCAUUUUGGUUAUUCUAAGGGAUUUUUGGAAAAGAUUAAACUAGCACUAUAGAAGGUAGUUUAAGUCUAAGGCUCAGAACAGCUCUUUGGGGCUCUGAGAGCAUCUCUCUGAAUGGGAGGAAGUGUUGGGGUGAGGGGGUGCUGAACCCAGAGCCCAUGCAGCUGGAGUUUCUCCUCGUCCUGCUGCUGGCUACAGAGGGAGGCUCUCCAACAGCACUGCACAGCAGGGAGGCUGCAGUUGGGGCCGACCCCUGCCUCGGGAGCUCCUUCUGGCUGAAGCCCUCACACUUGGUCCCUGCAUGAGCUACAGCCCUGCUACAUUGCAACCCUGCCCUUUUAAUC
rnacentral:lncRNA from 1 species